AGGAAUGGUGGGAGGACAACCUGAAAGUAAUUCUCUUUGCACACAACAGGCCUCCACCAAUUACUUGCCCUAUCGCCUGCUGUACGGACGGGAGCCGCAGCUGUUUACUGAGAUCACUGAAACUCCACCUGAUGUGGUGGAAGUUGUCGAACCAGAUCAGAAUGCCUUCAAGGACCACCUUCAGGCACGGGCUGAGAAGGACGUGGAGGUUUUUUACCAGGGACCUCUGACUGGAGUGGCCGGCAGUCCAGCAGCAGAAAGGGGCC